rnacentral:rRNA from 1 species
AGCGAACGCUGGCGGCAGGCUUAACACAUGCAAGUCGAACGGUCCUUCGGGAUAGUGGCGGACGGGUGAAUAACACGUGGGAACGUACCCUUAGGUUCGGAACAACACAGGGAAACUUGUGCUAAUACCGGAUAAGCCCCUCGGGGGAAAGAUUUAUCGCCUUUGGAGCGGCCCGCGUCUGAUUAGCUUGUUGGUGAGGUAAUGGCUCACCAAGGCUACGAUCAGUAGCUGGUCUGAGAGGAUGGCCAGCCACACUGGGACUGAGACACGGCCCAGACUCCUACGGGAGGCAGCAGAGGGGAAUCUUGCGCAAUGGGCGAAAGCCUGACGCAGCCAUGCCGCGUGGAUGAUGAAGGUCUUAGGAUUGUAAAAUCCUUUCACCGGGGACGAUAAUGACGGUACCCGGAGAAGAAGCCCCGGCUAACUUCGUGCCAGCCGCCGCCGUAA